rnacentral:lncRNA from 1 species
CCAUACAACGUAACUUCCAUUACGUCAGGGCAACCUUAUGUCAGGAUAGAUUUUGAUUAAACUCAAAAGAUAGAAAGAAAUUACUAGAACUAAAACUAAAAGCACGAAGAACAAGAAUCUGAAAUACAAUUUAAAUAUGUCAAUUCUCCGAUAACGGUGCCAAAAACUUGAUAUAUCUUAAAUUUAUCGCAAGCGCACG